GUCGCCAUGACUUUGCUCCUCAUUCGCCUUCAGCCAUGAUUGUGAGGCCUCCCCAGUCAUGUGGAACUUAUCUUCUUGGGCUUCAGGUUAACUGACAGAACUCGUUGAACCGGAUAAUAGGCUGGCUACUCCCAGAAGGCAAGAUUGAGAUGAACUGAGGCCUCAUAGCUACAAAUUGGUACAGUCAUUUCCGGAUUGCUAUGGGGAUCAGAUAUUAUUAUAUAGGUGAAGUGAAACCUCACAGAGAAAUGGGAGACUUAAGUCAAAAUGAUUGACUCAACUCAAGAAGCAACAUCUGAAGAGAUGCCGGUGCCUUGACCUUGGACUUCCCAGCCUCUAGAACUAUGAGAAAUAAAUUUCUCUUGUUUGUAAACUAUUCAGUCUCAGUCUUGGCUAUUUUGUUAUAGCAGCACAAACAAACUAAGAAUCUUUACCCCUUUUGAAUCUGGGGAGAUGCUGGUUCUUGAGUUGAGUCAACCAUUUUAGAAAAUAAUAAAAGCAUGUCUUUCAGGAAAGAGCAAGCAAGUGAGCACAAUUCAGGCCACCCACCACAGCACUGGAAGAGGAAAAGAAAAGACAACCUAGCUACCAACUACCAAAAUGGUCCAAGACCAAGAUAGGGUGCAUAGCAUGUGGUCAACUCUGUAUCUAGAACCCAAGCAGUUAACUACAAGGCUGGAAAAUGAGAUCAUCCAGCUGUUCACUCAGUGUGCUUCAGAGGAGAGGUGCUUUCCACAACUGAAGGGCUGCAAAGAGGGCAGGUAGAAU
rnacentral:lncRNA from 1 species